GGCUGUAUUGCCUCCACACUCAGUCUGUGUAGACUGGUGUCCACUGAGCUCUCUGCACCAGAACAAUUGCUGCAAUUGGAAUCCUGCAAGCCACUCAUUGGGAACCAGCUCUGUGUUUGGCUUCUCUUCCAUCUUUUCAAGGCAGACCGUAUCAGGAAAGCAUUGUGAGACCUGAGAGGUUGUGUGUUAGGAUGUGAGCUCUCAGCUACUGGCCCAGCACCAUGCGUGUCUUAUGCUGCCAUGCUCCCCACUAUGAUAGUCAUGGACUCUAACCCUCUGAAAUGUCUGUGGACUCCCAUCCUCUCUGCCCGCCUCACUCCUGCAAGACAGAGUUGGCCUUUAGGGAGUCUGGGAAGGGCCGGAUGAGACAACAGGAUUCUUGGCUAAGGAGCAUGAGUCAGCAAAUGUGUGAAUGCUCACUUGGAUGCUUGUCCUACCAUUGAGGUCUGUGAAGAGAAGCCUGGGGCCCAGCAGCAGAGCGCCACACCUUCCUACCGCCCUAGCACCAAACAGCUCUCUAGGAGCUUCUAGAUCUGAGGAGAACAUGAAGGAUUCAAGACUCUGGAGCCAGGAAGUUCAAUGCUUGGGUCUUCUGGAAACUGCUGGAAGUGUACAUGGCAAGAGAGUUCUCCCUGCAUAGCUCACAGCUCUGCACUGACCUCAGUGCUGUCAGGAGUGUGCCGUGGGAUUCCAUCUUUCUCACCUGCUUUCUGUGUUCUGGGCUGUUGCAGGCAAAGAUUGAUGCUAUCACUAUGAGGCAGUGGAAGGAAUUGCUUUGAGAUUUCUGGUCAAUGAACGAAAAGGCUUACUUGCCCUCUAUAUGUAAAAGCCCAUGUCAUCCAAGACAACUUUCAAGCUAAUGACUAGCCAAGAGAAUUAAAAGCUUACCCCCAAAA